ACUAGCAACUGUGUCACCCUGCAGCCCACUGGAGCUCAGCAGGCGUGAGCCUGGUCAGUACCUGGAUGGGAGACCUCCUGGGAAAGCUGAGGUUGCUGCUGGAA
rnacentral:rRNA from 1 species